UGAUUAUUGGAGGUAGAGCACUGUUUGGACGAGGGGCCCCUCUCGGGUUACCGAAUUCAGACAAACUCCGAAUGCCAAUUAAUUUAACUUGGGAGUCAGAACAUGGGUGAUAAGGUCCGUGUUCGAAAGGGAAACAGCCCAGACCACCAGCUAAGGUCCCAAAAUAUAUGUUAAGUGGAAAAGGAUGUGGCGUUGCCCAGACAACUAGGAUGUUGGCUUAGAAGCAGCCAUCAUUUAAAGAGUGCGUAAUAGCUCACUAGUCGAGUGACACUGCGCCGAAAAUGUACCGGGGCUAAACAUAUUACCGAAGCUGUGGAUUGUCCUUUGGACAAUGGUAGGAGAGCGUUCUAAGGGCGUUGAAGCAUGAUCGUAAGGACAUGUGGAGCGCUUAGAAGUGAGAAUGCCGGUGUGAGUAGCGAAAGACGGGUGAGAAUCCCGUCCACCGAUUGACUAAGGUUUCCAGAGGAAGGCUCGUCCGCUCUGGGUUAGUCGGGUCCUAAGCUGAGGCCGACAGGCGUAGGCGAUGGAUAACAGGUUGAUAUUCCUGUACCACCUAUAAUCGUUUUAAUCGAUGGGGGGACGCAGUAGGAUAGGCGAAGCGUGCGAUUGGAUUGCACGUCUAAGCAGUAAGGCUGAGUAUUAGGCAAAUCCGGUACUCGUUAAGGCUGAGCUGUGAUGGGGAGAAGACAUUGUGUCUUCGAGUCGUUGAUUUCACACUGCCGAGAAAAGCCUCUAGAUAGAAAAUAGGUGCCCGUACCGCAAACCGACACAGGUAGUCAAGAUGAGAAUUCUAAGGUGAGCGAGCGAACUCUCGUUAAGGAACUCGGCAAAAUGACCCCGUAACUUCGGGAGAAGGGGUGCUCUUUAGGGUUAACGCCCAGAAGAGCCGCAGUGAAUAGGCCCAAGCGACUGUUUAUCAAAAACACAGGUCUCUGCUAAACCGUAAGGUGAUGUAUAGGGGCUGACGCCUGCCCGGUGCUGGAAGGUUAAGAGGAGUGGUUAGCUUCUGCGAAGCUACGAAUCGAAGCCCCAGUAAACGGCGGCCGUAACUAUAACGGUCCUAAGGUAGCGAAAUUCCUUGUCGGGUAAGUUCCGACCCGCACGAAAGGCGUAACGAUUUGGGCACUGUCUCAACGAGAGACUCGGUGAAAUCAUAGUACCUGUGAAGAUGCAGGUUACCCGCGACAGGACGGAAAGACCCCGUGGAGCUUUACUGUAGCCUGAUAUUGAAAUUCGGCACAGCUUGUACAGGAUAGGUAGGAGCCUUUGAAACGUGAGCGCUAGCUUACGUGGAGGCGCUGGUGGGAUACUACCCUAGCUGUGUUGGCUUUCUAACCCGCACCACUUAUCGUGGUGGGAGACAGUGUCAGGCGGGCAGUUUGACUGGGGCGGUCGCCUCCUAAAAGGUAACGGAGGCGCUCAAAGGUUCCCUCAGAAUGGUUGGAAAUCAUUCAUAGAGUGUAAAGGCAUAAGGGAGCUUGACUGCGAGACCUACAAGUCGAGCAGGGUCGAAAGACGGACUUAGUGAUCCGGUGGUUCCGCAUGGAAGGGCCAUCGCUCAACGGAUAAAAGCUACCCCGGGGAUAACAGGCUUAUCUCCCCCAAGAGUUCACAUCGACGGGGAGGUUUGGCACCUCGAUGUCGGCUCAUCGCAUCCUGGGGCUGUAGUCGGUCCCAAGGGUUGGGCUGUUCGCCCAUUAAAGCGGUACGCGAGCUGGGUUCAGAACGUCGUGAGACAGUUCGGUCCCUAUCCGUCGUGGGCGUAGGAAAUUUGAGAGGAGCUGUCCUUAGUACGAGAGGACCGGGAUGGACAUACCUCUGGUGUACCAGUUGUCGUGCCAACGGCAUAGCUGGGUAGCUAUGUGUGGACGGGAUAAGUGCUGAAAGCAUCUAAGCAUGAAGCCCCCCUCAAGAUGAGAUUUCCCAACUUCGGUUAUAAGAUCCCUCAAAGAUGAUGAGGUUAAUAGGUUCGAGGUGGAAGCAUGGUGACAUGUGGAGCUGACGAAUACUAAUCGAUCGAAGACUUAAUCAA
rnacentral:rRNA from 1 species